rnacentral:rRNA from 1 species
GACGAACGCUGGCGGCGCGCUUAACACAUGCAAGUCGAACGGAAAGGCCUGCUUUCCCUUGUGGAUUGCGGGUACUCGAGUGGCGAACGGGUGAGUAACACGUGAGUGAUCUGCCCCCAACUUGGGUAUAAGCCUGGGAAACUGGGUCUAAUUCCCGAUAGGACUGCAGGGUGGUGCCUGUGGUGGAAAACGAUUUUCUAGUGGUUGGGGAUGAGCUCGCGGCCUAUCAGCUUGUUGGUGGGGUAAUGGCCUACCAAGGCGGCGACGGGUAGCCGGCCUGAGAGGGUGGACGGCCACAUUGGGACUGGGAUACGGCCCAGACUCCUACGGGAGGCAGCAGUGGGGAAUAUUGCACAAUGAGCGGAAGCCUGAUGCAGCGACGCCGCGUGGGGGAUGACGGCCUUCGGGUUGUAAACUCCUUUCGACCGCGAGGAAGCCACCUGGUUGGAAGGGUGGUGACGGUAGUGGCAGAAGAAGCACCGGCUAACUACGUG